CUCCAGUUAGCCUAGUGAAUAAGGCUAUGGAUCGUUAAUCCGGAGACGGCGGGUUCGAUUCCCGUUCUGGUCG
rnacentral:tRNA from 1 species